UGCCCUCUCGUCCAAUGGCAGGACAGCGGACUCUGGAUCCGUCAAUCGGGGUUCGAAUCCCUGGGGGGCAGCCA
rnacentral:tRNA from 1 species